rnacentral:rRNA from 1 species
GAGGAAAAGACAUCAACCGAGAUUCCGAAAGUAGUGGCGAGCGAAAUCGGAAGAGCCUUCUAGUGAUAGCACGACUGUUAGCAAAACGGAAUGGAAAGUCCGGCCAUAGCAGGUGAUAGCCCUGUAUGCGAAAACAGACGUGUGGUACUAAGGUAGAGACAAGUAGGGCGGGACACGAGAAAUCCUGUCUGAAUAUGGGGGGACCAUCCUCCAAGGCUAAAUACUCGUAAUCGACCGAUAGUGAACCAGUACCGUGAGGGAAAGGCGAAAAGAACCCCGGGAGGGGAGUGAAAUAGAUCCUGAAACCGCAUGCUUACAAAAAGUAGGAGCCCGCAAGGGUGACUGCGUACCUUUUGUAUAAUGGGUCAGCGACUUACAUUCAGUGGCAAGCUUAACCGAAUAGGGGAGGCGCAGGGAAACCGAGUCCGAACAGGGCGAACAUAGUCGCUGGGUGUAGACCCGAAACCAAGUGAUCUAUCCAUGGCCAGGAUGAAGGUGCCGUAACAGGUACUGGAGGUCCGAACCCACUAGUGUUGCAAAACUAGGGGAUGAGCUGUGGAUAGGGGUGAAAGGCUAAACAAACUUGGAAAUAGCUGGUUCUCUCCGAAAACUAUUUAGGUAGUGCCUCAAGUAUUACCUGCGGGGGUAGAGCACUGUUUAGGCUAGGGGGUCAUGGCGACUUACCAAACCUAUGCAAACUCCGAAUACCGCAGAGUACAGCUUGGGAGACAGAGCACCGGGUGCUAACGUCCGGACUCAAGAGGGAAACAACCCAGACCGCCAGCUAAGGUCCCUAAAAUUGGCUAAGUGGGAAACGAAGUGGGAAGGCUAAAACAGUCAGGAUGUUGGCUUAGAAGCAGCCAUCAUUUAAAGAAAGCGUAAUAGCUCACUGAUCGAGUCGUCCUGCGCGGAAGAUGUAACGGGGCUAAGCCAGUUACCGAAGCUGCGGAUGUGCAAUUUAUUGCACGUGGUAGGAGAGCGUUCUGUAGGCCUGUGAAGGUGUCUGGUAACGGAUGCUGGAGGUAUCAGAAGUGCGAAUGCUGACAUGAGUAGCGUUAAAGGGGGUGAAAAGCCCCCUCGCCGUAAGCGCAAGGUUUCCUACGCAACGUUCAUCGGCGUAGGGUGAGUCGGCCCCUAAGGCGAGGCAGAGAUGCGUAGCUGAUGGGAAACAGGUCAAUAUUCCUGUACCGAUUACAAGUGCGAUGUGGGGACGGAGAAGGUUAGCUCAGCCAACUGUUGGAUAUGUUGGUUCAAGCCUGUAGUCGUGCCCGGUAGGCAAAUCCGCCGGGCUUAGAUGAGGGGUGAUAACGAGGCUGCUUGCAGCCGAAGUGAGUGAUACCCUGCUUCCAGGAAAAGCCACUAAGCUUCAGCUAUUGACGACCGUACCGCAAACCGACACUGGUGCGCGAGAUGAGUAUUCUAAGGCGCUUGAGAGAACUCAGGAGAAGGAACUCGGCAAAUUGAUACCGUAACUUCGGGAGAAGGUAUGCCCCAAGUAGGUGAACUCGUACAGAGGGAGCCCAAAGGGGUUGCAAAAAAUCGGUGGCUGCGACUGUUUAAUAAAAACACAGCACUCUGCAAACACGAAAGUGGACGUAUAGGGUGUGACGCCUGCCCGGUGCUGGAAGAUUAAAUGAUGGGGUGCAAGCUCUUGAUUGAAGUCCCAGUAAACGGCGGCCGUAACUAUAACGGUCCUAAGGUAGCGAAAUUCCUUGUCGGGUAAGUUCCGACCUGCACGAAUGGCGUAACGAUGGCCACACUGUCUCCUCCUGAGACUCAGCGAAGUUGAAAUGUUUGUGAUGAUGCAAUCUCCCCGCGGAAAGACGGAAAGACCCCAUGAACCUUUACUGUAGCUUUGUAUUGGACUUUGAACAGAUCUGUGUAGGAUAGGUGGGAGGCUUUGAAGUGAGGACGCUAGUUCUCAUGGAGCCAACGUUGAAAUACCACCCUGGUGUGUUUGAGGUUCUAACCUAGGUCCAUUAUCUGGAUCGGGGACAGUGCAUGGUAGGCAGUUUGACUGGGGCGGUCUCCUCCCAAAGCGUAACGGAGGAGUUCGAAGGUACGCUAGUUACGGUCGGACAUCGUGACGAUAGUGCAAUGGCAUAAGCGUGCUUAACUGCGAGACUGACAAGUCGAGCAGAUGC